AGAGUUUGAUCCUGGCUCAGGAUGAACGCUAGCGGCAGGCUUAACACAUGCAAGUCGAGGGGUAACAUUGUGCUUGCACAGAUGACGACCGGCGCACGGGUGCGUAACGCGUAUAGAACCUACCUUUUACAGAGGAAUAGCCUUUAGAAAUGAAGAUUAAUGCCUUAUGGUAUUAUAGACUGGCAUCAGUUUAUAAUUAAAGAUUUAUCGGUAAAAGAUGGCUAUGCGUCCUAUUAGUUAGUUGGUAAGGUAACGGCUUACCAAGACAGCGAUAGGUAGGGGUCCUGAGAGGGAGAUCCCCCACACUGGUACUGAGACACGGACCAGACUCCUACGGGAGGCAGCAGUGAGGAAUAUUGGACAAUGGAGGAGACUCUGAUCCAGCUAUGCCGCGUGUAGGAAGAAUGCCCUAUGGGUUGUAAACUACUUUUAUACAGGAAGAAACACUGGUAUGUAUACCAGCUUGACGGUACUGUAAGAAUAAGGACCGGCUAACUCCGUGCCAGCAGCCGCGGUAAUACGGAGGGUCCGAGCGUUAUCCGGAAUCAUUGGGUUUAAAGGGUCCGCAGGCGGUCUAUUAAGUCAGAGGUGAAAUCCCAUAGCUCAACUAUGGAACUGCCUUUGAUACUGGUUGACUUGAGUCAUAUGGAAGUAGAUAGAAUGUGUAGUGUAGCGGUGAAAUGCAUAGAUAUUACACAGAAUACCGAUUGCGAAGGCAGUCUACUACGUAUGUACUGACGCUGAGGGACGAAAGCGUGGGGAGCGAACAGGAUUAGAUACCCUGGUAGUCCACGCCGUAAACGAUGGAUACUAGUUGUUGGGAUUUAUCUCAGUGA
rnacentral:rRNA from 1 species